rnacentral:lncRNA from 1 species
GAUGAAGAAACCAAGGCUCAGUGCCUAAUCUAGCUACAUAGGUAAUUAGUGGCAGAACUAUCUAAUGCAGUGUUCAGGGACUGCACGUUAACUAGUUUCUUAUAUAUUUUUCUGUUGCCUUCUAAUUGGUGAAACAAAGUUUUGUCUGUAGUUUUUGUUUUUGUUGUUUUGUUUUGUUUUUGAGAUGGAGUCUCACUCUGUCAUCCAGGCUGGAGUGCAGUAGUGCGAUCUUGGCUUACUGCAACCUCCGCCUCCUGGGUUCAAGCGAUUCUUCUGCCUCAGCCUCCCGAGUAGGUGGGACUACAGGUGCACGCCACCACACCCAGCUAAUUUUUGUAUUUUUAGUAGAGAUGGGGGUUUCACCAUAUUGGCCAGGCUGGUCUCAAACUCCUGAUGUUAAGUAAUCUGCCUGCUUUGGCCUCCCAAAUUGCUGGAAUUAUAGGUGUGAGCCACUGCGCCCAGCCUUUUUUUUUUUUUUUUGAGACAGAGUUUCACCCUUGUUGCCCAGGCUGGAGUGCAAUGGUGUGAUCUCGGCUCACCGCAACCUCUGCCUCCUGGGUUCAAGCGAUUCUCCUGCCUCAGCCUUCCAAGUAGCUGGGAUUACAGGCGUGUGCCACCACAUCUGGCCAAUUUUUGUAUUUUCAGUAGAGACGGGGUUUCUCCAUAUUGGUCAGGCUGGUCUUGAACUCCCGACCUCAGGUGAUCCGCCUGCCUUGGCCUCCCAAAGUGCUGGGAUUACAGGCGUGAGCCACCGUGCCCAGCCCCUUCUUUUUUUGUGUGUGUGAGAUGGAGUGUCCCUCUGUCCCAGGCUGGAGUGCAGUAGUGCGAUCUUGGCUCGCUGCAAACUUUGCCUCCCAGGUUCAAGCCAUUCUCCUGUCUUGACCUCCCAAAUAGCUGGGAUUACAGCCGUGUACCACCACACCCGGCUAACAAGGGUUUGGUUUAAUUUUUUUUUGCUAACCGUUCAACUCAAUUAAACAUCUAAAUGUUUCAGAGAUAGUGACAAAGCUUCAUUUCCAAUGUUGAUGUCAACAUUUUGUUAGGAUGGGAGAGGGGAGUUUUCUCUGGAUAUGCAUUAGACAUCCAAAAAGAAGCUAAAUUCUGCUAAAACUUACUGGAACAUAUAGAAGACCUCCUUCUAUAUUAUGAAGUGUACAACAGAUAUUUACAGGGAAUUAGUACAUGUUUUCUAAUCUUUUUGUAGUAAAAUAACUACAAAAUUUGUAGUAAAAUAAAAUUUGUAGCAAAAUUACUAAAAGUGAACAGGCUGUUUGAGGUAGCAUACUAAAACAGUUUCCAAGGUAAAAAAUCAGUUUACAGUUGAACAGACUGCCGUAGGAUAUAGACUGUACUGACUGUCUUAAUUUUCUUUUUUUUCUUUUGAGAUGGAGUUUCACUCUUGUUGUCCAGGCUGGAGUGCAGUGGCACAAUCUCAGCUCACUGCAACCUCCACCUCCUGGGCUCCAACGAUUCUCCUGCCUCAGCCUCCCGAGUAGCCGGGAUUACAUGCAUGCGCCACCAUGCCCAGCUAAUUUUUGUAUUUUUAGUAGAGACGGGGUUUCACCAUGUUGACCAGGCUGGUCUUGAACUCCUGACCUCGGAUGAUCCGCCCGCCUCAGCCUCCCAACGUGCUGGGAUUACAAGCAUGAGCCACUGAGCCCGGCCCCCUGACUGUCUUAAUUAAAAUGAAUGAAUGCUUCCAAUGAAAACAUAAUGAUGACAAUACUAAAAUUAUAAACUACAUAAAUAGUCCAAAUGUGGUCUCAGUUCGUAAUGAUUUAAAUAUCAGUUCAGAACAAAAAGCAAACACUUGAUUCAAAUAGUACUUCAUUAGUUGCUUUCAUAUAAAAUUUCAUGUAAUACAAAUGACUAUCUCAUAAUUAUCUGGUAAUACGUAAAUUAAAGGAAAAGAUAACCUUGACAUCUUGAAAUGAAACAGGAUCUUGUCCAUGGAUUUUCAUUAGUUCCUGUAUGGCCUGUAUUUAAUAGAAAUAAAUCUGUAAAUAAAAAAUGAAAUACACAACA